UCUUUCCUUCUUCUUUCUUCUUCUCUUCUGUUCUUUUUCUUUUCUUCCCUAUUGAUCUCAGUUCAGAAGAACUGAGUUAUCUUGUGUGAAUUAUUCAUAAAAAAUUAGUUAGUUUGAUAAAUCGAAGUAUAUGAAGCUAGAACUGAAGUUGUUUGAGCUCCAGGAGAAGAAGAAGAUGAUGUUGAUGUUGAAUUGGAGUUAAGGUUUCUGGAGUUACGAUUCGUGUAGAACUGAUGAUGUUAUUGUGUCGUUGUGGGAUGAAGAAUUGAGGGAUUGUUGUUGAUUUGACUAGGUGAUGCUGUUCUGAUGAUGAAUCGAAAAGAAAAGGGUCCUGUGAUCUGAAGAUGGAGAUGAACUUGAUGUUGGCUAGCCAGAUAAAAUGGUUAUGGUUGUGGUACUGUUGAACUGAAGUUGCAGCUGGUGGUGAUAUUGUGAAUUUUUAACUAAAUUGAAGAGCAAGAUGAAUAUUAGAAUAUCACAGAGAUGUUUGAAAUGAGAUUCAUUGUGCAGGUAGUAUUGUGUAGGAAGUGUUAUAAUUUAUGGUUGGUGGAAAAGAAGAAAGAAUGUUUGGUUUCUGAAAUUGUGGCUGUAGAUAAAGUCGAAUAUCAGAGUGGUGGGGAUGCUGCUGGAUUGAAUUGAUGGGUUGAUGACUUAUAUAGAAUCUGUAUUGGUAGUUUUAUUGAGUUGCAAAUGAAGCUACCGAAUUGCCAAGAACUCGACUGGGUUAGUGGUAACGAAUUUAUGGAAGUAGUUACAAGUGGAGCUGCAAAUUAUUAUGGUGCUGGUGGUUUUGAAUGUAUGAUGCCUGUAAUGAAAAGAUGGAACUCCAAGUAGUGGUGUAGAACUGAGAUGAACUGAGACAGAUGAGAAGAUAAUUGAAGUUGUAACUCGUAGUGUUUGCAAUCAUGGAGUGAACUGGUGGUGAAGGGACUAGGUAUGCAAAGGUAUUGGUGAUGUUGUUGCUGCUGUUUUGAAGAUAUGAAAAGUGGCUGCAUUUUGAGUUACGGUUUCAAAAGAAGUCCAAAGAAGAAUUACAGGUUUUGGAAGAAUGUUUUAUGUACAUAUGAAGACUGGAUUGUUGACUUGAGUGUAUUUGAAGUUGAGUUGGGUGGUGUAUUGGAAUUGAUGCAAAUGAUGAUGGUAGUAUUUUAACUGAAAUUUCAAUGUAGGAAGAUUGAACUGAAUGUGUGACUGAAGUGAUGUAGUUGAAGUUAAUCUGGUUGAAUGAAUUAAUGAAGUAGAGUUAGGUCGAUGGCUGUAGUCUUGGCAUGUUUUGCAUUAUAUAUUGUUUGUGCAUUUUGAGUA